UUAUUAGACUUGUUACAAGGUUGUUCUAACAAGUCUGAUACGGUCAUGAUAUAGCAAGAAUGUUACAAGGUUGACGACACAAGGUUGUAACAAUAUUGUUAUACCAUGACUGUAUCAGACUUGUUGGAACAACCUUGCAACAAGUCUGAUAA
rnacentral:miRNA from 1 species